rnacentral:rRNA from 1 species
UUAGUGGCGAACGGGUGAGUAAUAUAUCGGAACGUACCUUGUAAUGGGGGAUAACUAGUCGAAAGAUUAGCUAAUACCGCAUACGCCCUGAGGGGGAAAGUAGGGGAUCUUCGGACCUUACGUUAUAAGAGCGGCCGAUAUCUGAUUAGCUAGUUGGUGGGGUAAUGGCCUACCAAGGCGACGAUCAGUAGCUGGUCUGAGAGGACGACCAGCCACACUGGAACUGAGACACGGUCCAG